rnacentral:rRNA from 1 species
AUACGGAGGAUCCGAGCGUUAUCCGGAUUUAUUGGGUUUAAAGGGUGCGCAGGCGGGAGAUUAAGUCGGCGGUGAAAUUUUGCAGCUCAACUGUAAAAGUGCCUUCGAAACUGGUUUCCUUGAGUGUAGAUGAAGUAGGCGGAAUUUGUGGUGUAGCGGUGAAAUGCAUAGAUAUCACGAGGAACUCCGAUUGCGCAGGCAGCUUACUAAACCACUACUGACGCUCAGGCACGAAGGCGUGGGGAUCAAACAGGAUUAGAUACCCUGGUAGUCCACGCAGUAAACGAUGAUUACUAGCUGUUUGCGAUACAAUGUAAGCGGCUGAGCGAAAGCGUUAAGUAAUCCACCUGGGGAGUACGUUCGCAAGAAUGAAACUCAAAUGAAUUGACGGGG